CUAAACUCCACAAGUAGGCUACAACGACAACGGAGGGCGGAAAAAGCGUGACCAAGACCACCGUGGUUCUCCUUUGAAAAAAAUGGACCUGUCCCCUACAGACCCCGAGUCUCUGGUCCAGUUGAAGAGGGUAUCAGUGGUGCUGGUGGACAGCUGUAGAACACAGGAACAACGAGGGAGGAACAGAGAGAACAACACAGAUGCAGAACAAUCCAAGAGCCGAACCGUAUGGAGGAUUGUGG